UACGAAGGACCCGAGCGUUAUCCGGAUUUAUUGGGUUUAAAGGGUGUGUAGGUGGAACGGUAAGUCAGUGGUGAAAGCCUGUUGCUUAACAACAGAACUGCCAUCGAUACUGCCGAUCUUGAGUACAUAUGAUGUGGGCGGAAUGUGCCAUGUAGCGGUGAAAUGCUUAGAUAUGGCACAGAACACCGAUUGCGAAGGCAGCUCACAAAACUGUAACUGACACUGAGGCACGAAAGCGUGGGGAUCAAACAGG
rnacentral:rRNA from 1 species